GGGAGGAUGUCACCUACCUGGUGGUGGUCGAGGGAUACUCCUGUGGCCUGAAUCUCGAUUCCCAGUCUGCCCUUUGAGCCUCAGUGUCCUGGGACGGUGGUCUGGAUCAGGAGAACUGCUUUGUAAACACCAGGGAAAUAUUCACCUCAAGGGACGCUUUACCUAGGCGGGUACCUGUGUCCUAACUUGCUGGAUCCUCACAGCAGCCCUAUGAGAUGAGCACUAUUCUAGCCCUCAUUCUUCAGAGGAGGAAACUAAGGCAUGCAGAGGAUAAACAAUGUGCUGAGCGUCGCAUCGCCAGGAAGUGGAGAUCUCGAAUUUGAACCCAGGCAGGUGGAUCCGCGCCUGUGUGCUUGGCCACAGUGCACCGCAUGGCCUCUCAUAGAAGGACUCAAAUAUUUGUUGACAGAAAGAACAAACAAAGAACCUUUGGUUUUCUCCAUCUUUCUUUAGUUGGCUGGACUCAAGAUGGUUGGUGAGAAAAAGGGCCUAACCCUGGUGUGAGGGAGUGCCCUCUCCCACCCGCACGUCCCUUGGGAAUUGGAGGAUGUAUGUAUGUAUGUAUGUAUCCAGUGGUGUUGCUAUGAUAAUGCAGACGAAUCAGCAAAGAAAUGAAAUAUGCUGCUGUCUGGUUGCAGAUGGGCCCGGGGGGCCAGAGCUGGACCCCAGCCCUGAAGAGUUUCAGGGGACAAACUCCAGUUCCAAAAGACCUCUGGGGAGAGGAGACCCAGCCCUGUGGAGUGGCCGGAAAGAGCUGGAGAGGAGCUGGCAGACAUUAGGGGACAAAGCACAGACCAGUUCAGAGACGGAAGAAGGCAGAAAGAGGAGGAAUCCAUUGCCAGUUGGAUGUCUCUCUUAUAAAUGUUGACUCAGGGAUCCAGGCUUCUUCCAUCCUGUGAUGCCACCAUCUUCAAUAAGUAGCCUCCAAGGUUGCUGUAGGAGGGGAAGAGAGAUUGGAGGAGUGUGGAUUGGAGAUUAUCAUGGGUCAGGCCUAGAAGAGGCGUACAGUCACUGUCAGCCACAAUCACACGGCCCCAACCAAAGGCAAGGGGGCCGGGAGAUACCCCUGAGCUAAGGUUUCCAGGAGGAAAGGGGGAGACCCGGAUGCUGGGGAGCCCUGCCGUUCAUUAACAAGCCCCUCCCAACCCAGACUCUUGCAGGGUUUUCCCUCCUUUCUCCCUCAAUAAGCUCUCUAACGUCAUGGAUUCAAACUCCAUGCAGCAUCGCUGCCUUGUUAAUGCUAGAAUUUCACCCAAAUAAUCAAUCCUUUGGAAGCUAAAUAGUGAAAUAUUUUAGAAGGCAGCUAUACUCAUCGCUAUACCACCAAUGCUGCACAGGAGCAAAAUAUUUUUGAAAGAACAGAUUUUUGAAAGGACAGAGGGCCAGUGCAGGGUAUUUCAUAGCAGUGUUCCAUAAAGGAAAAUCGAAAUCCCAUUCCCUAUUAGCUUCUAUUUAAAUAAGAAAUAGAAUUCCCUGGG
rnacentral:lncRNA from 1 species